UCGAGGAUCUUCGGCAAUGGGCGCAAGCCUGACCGAGCGACGCCGCGUGUGCGAUGAAGGCCUUCGGGUUGUAAAGCACUGUCGAGGGGAAGAAAGCUCCGCAAGGAGUUGAUCGACCCCUGGAGGAAGCACGGGCUAAGUUCGUGCCAGCAGCCGCGGUAAGACGAACCGUGCAAACGUUAUUCGGAAUCACUGGGCUUAAAGGGCGCGUAGGCGGGCCAGCAAGUCAGGGGUGAAAUCUUUCAGCUCAACUGGAAAAGGGCCUUUGAUACUGCUGGUCUCGAGGGAGGUAGGGGCAUGCGGAACUUCCGGUGGAGCGGUGAAAUGCGUAGAUAUCGGAAGGAACGCCGGUGGCGAAAGCGGCGUGCUGGACCUCUUCUGACGCUGAGGCGCGAAAGCUAGGGGAGCAAACGG
rnacentral:rRNA from 1 species